ACCAUAUGUUAGCUAAAGCCAACAGGGUUUGAAGCCUUUGAAGAUGGAAGAAAGCUGUACCUGUACCUGUGCAGGUGGGUUCUGCUGCAGAGCAAGCUCAGCAUGCUCAUUAUUCUCUGCUAAGGAGCUGGGGAUUACUCUGACUUGCUGAAAAACACCUGGUCUAGAUUGUAUCAGGUGUAGCUUAGUAAGAAGGGCAUAAAACUUGCCAGCUCUAACACCUCAUGUUCAUCAACACAGGAUGCUCAGGUUGUAACAGAAAGCUAGAGUGAUAGGAAAGAGCAUAACCAGCUGACAACUAUUAUGUGGUAUUGCUUCUGGUCUCCACGGCUUGUAGCUCCAUGAGCAGCUUGCUCUGCAGGAAUUCAUGUCUGCAGCACAAAUUCUGAGCACUGGAUGUGGCUGGAUUCAGUUCAAAAAACAUCUUGGACCAAAGUUUUUCAUUAAACACAGUGUUGUCUUCCAACAUUAAAACAAGACGGAAGCUGUGAUUCUUGAUUUGUUGAAGGAGUACAAUAAUAUCUUUGGCCCCAGUCUGCUUGUAAGAUGGCAAAGGUUACAAGCCGUUAUAUUUGUGCCUGUGUUUCUGAUACUUUGGACUAAGUAACUUAAACAGGGGGCAUGCGAUGUGAUGAACUCCUAGAUGACUCAAUGAAAAUAAAUUUUAAAGCAUGGUUUCUCACCUUUAACUUUCCUAAACCCUUUAUGAAUGAUCUGCUUCCAAAAGCUUGCCAACCAUGGCAGUACAUAGGCUCAAUACUUAUCUGCCCACACAAAUUCUGCAAGACUGUUCGAAAAAGAGAGCAGAAAUUGCAUCUUAAAUAAGCAGUUAGGCUUAAUGCUCGUCAACACCAGAGAGGCUGGUGCUAGCUAUCUGUUGGAGAAUUCGGGGCUUUGGGCGGAUAAAUGCUUCCUAUUCAAAGUGAAUGACAUGAAGUCGAGUUCACCCCCGGGAACAACAACGGAAGCCUGAACGGAAAAGCCCACACCUGGAGGGCUGCCAGUCCUCUCUCGCCUCCCACCUGGUAGCAGGUGUUAGAGCAGCACCUCCCUCCCUGGCAGCAGACGCGAUGACUAUUUAAAAGAGAAAGUCUUUGCGGGAGCUUUCUGUACUGAGGAGUUUUGGCACUGGGCUUCCAGCAGAGAACAAAUCUGGGCUAUGCUAUCCAUUGCCUCACGACAGACCUUGUGCUGUGGUGGGCAGAAUGAAAACAAGGAGCUAAAGGGGCCAGGAGACUCCCUGCACUGAGGACUCCUCAUCUUCCUAUGCCCUUGGGCCAGCUCAGCUGUGAAAUUACGCAGGCUCUGGUGCAGGCUUAGUUAUUUCAAAUAUAGAGUGGCAUCUGUGGGGGGCAGAAUAACCUUUCUGGCUCAGCCUGCAUGUAUGUUUGCUGUGGGCUGAGCUUAUGGCUGGUCUCAGGGCUUCGCUCACUGCAGCACCGCAGAUCCAUCAGGAAAGAAAUGUAAAGGCAGUCAUCCCCACCGACUCCACAGACACCUCCAUCGGCCUGCUCGAGCACCCCACCUCGAAGCGAGAUGGCGGGCCCUGCUAUGGGAUGGGAAGGGUUUUACUUCAGCUCGACAGGGCACUUGGCUGGCAGCCUCCUCAGCGCUGCGUGCCUGAGCAGGUCGGCGCAGGUCCCGGCGGCCUCCCACUCCU